ensembl:snRNA U1 U1 spliceosomal RNA
AUGCUUAUCUGGCAGGGAGGCAUUCUGAUUGUGAAGGUGGUUUUUGAGAGGGAGCCUCAUUACUAGCACUUCAGGUAGUCUGACACCUGCAACUUCCCCAGAUCCAGGGAACUUGACUUUAAAAUUUGUGAUGUGGGAGAUUGUUUUUGUUCUUUAUCCUG